rnacentral:rRNA from 1 species
GUCAUGGCUCAGGAUGAACGCUGGCGGCGUGCUUAACACAUGCAAGUCGAACGAAGCACUUUAAUUGAUUUCUUCGGAAUGAAGUUUUUGUGACUGAGUGGCGGACGGGUGAGUAACGCGUGGGUAACCUGCCUCAUACAGGGGGAUAACAGUUGGAAACGACUGCUAAUACCGCAUAAGCGCACAGGAUUGCAUGAUCCAGUGUGAAAAACUCCGGUGGUAUGAGAUGGACCCGCG